UGGGGAAUAUUGGACAAUGGGCGGAAGCCUGAUCCAGCAACGCCGCGUGAGGGAUGACGGCCUUCGGGUUGUAAACCUCUUUCACCAUUGACGAAGUCGCACUUUUUGUGUGGUGACGGUAGGUGGGGAAGAAGCACCGGCCAACUACGUGCCAGCAGCCGCGGUAAUACGUAGGGUGCGAGCGUUGUCCGGAAUUAUUGGGCGUAAAGGGCUCGUAGGCGGUUUGUCGCGUCGGGAGUGAAAACACUGGGCUUAACUCAGUGCUGGCUUUCGAUACGGGCAGACUAGAGGUAUGCAGGGGAGAACGGAAUUCCUGGUGUAGCGGUGAAAUGCGCAGAUAUCAGGAGGAACACCGGUGGCGAAGGCGGUUCUCUGGGCAUUACCUGACGCUGAGGAGCGAAAGUGUGGGGAGCGAACAGG
rnacentral:rRNA from 1 species